UUACAAGUCUGCCACCUCCGCCGCCUCAGCUUCCUGUUUCCCUGACAACGCCACCACCUUUUCCUCUUGUUUCCAUGACGACACCUACUUCUCUUAUAGAGGCAGUAGUCGUGGUGACUUCUGCACCUUCAAAUAUACUUGCUGCGUCUCUCCCUACAAGAACUUCACCUCUUACAAGGGUUGCUUCUCUCCCUACAAAGACCCCUGCGCCAACAAGGAUUUACACCAGCUUUGCUCAUCGAGAUUGGAAGGAAUUGAGUCAAUUGACUAAGGAGUUUCUCAACACCAGAAACUUAUGCAGAAUAUAUACAGCCUCUCCAAGGAUUACCGUGCAACAAUGGGAAUAUGAAUUUCCUAAUCAAAAUAGCUUGAAGACUAGACAGAUUUGGGAAGUC
rnacentral:lncRNA from 1 species